rnacentral:tRNA from 1 species
GAUAGUAUGGCUGAUUUAUAAGCAUUAAACUGUAAAUUUAAAAAAGAAAUUUUAUUUUCUAUUAUCA